UCUGACGGACACGCCGCGUGAGUGAUGAAGGCUUUCGGGUCGUAAAACUCUGUUGUUAGGGAAGAACAAGUACGAGAGUAACUGCUCGUACCUUGACGGUACCUAACCAGAAAGCCACGGCUAACUACGUGCCAGCAGCCGCGGUAAUACGUAGGUGGCAAGCGUUAUCCGGAAUUAUUGGGCGUAAAGCGCGCGCAGGCGGUUUCUUAAGUCUGAUGUGAAAGCCCACGGCUCAACCGUGGAGGGUCAUUGGAAACUGGGGAACUUGAGUGCAGAAGAGAAAAGCGGAAUUCCACGUGUAGCGGUGAAAUGCGUAGAGAUGUGGAGGAACACCAGUGGCGAAGGCGGCUUUUUGGUCUGUAACUGACGCUGAGGCGCGAAAGCGUGGGGAGCAAACAGGAUUAGAUACCCUGGUAGUCCACGCCGUAAACGAUGAGUGCUAAGUGUUAGAGGGUUUCCGCCCUUUAGUGCUGCAGCUAACGCAUAAGCACUCC
rnacentral:rRNA from 2 species